UACGUAGGUGGCAAGCGUUGUCCGGAUUUAUUGGGUUUAAAGGGUGCGUAGGCGGCCCUGUAAGUCAGUGCUGAAAUCCUCCGGCUUAACCGGAGAUGUGGCAUUGAUACUGCAGGGCUUGAGUACAGAUGAGGUAGGCGGAAUUGACGGUGUAGCGGUGAAAUGCAUAGAUAUCGUCAAGAACACCGAUAGCGAAGGCAGCUUACUGGGCUGUAACUGACGCUGAUGCACGAAAGUGUGGGGAUCAAACAGG
rnacentral:rRNA from 1 species